rnacentral:rRNA from 1 species
UACGGGGGGGGCAAGCGUUGUUCGGAAUUACUGGGCGUAAAGGGCGUGUAGGCGGCUUCGUGUGUCCCAUGUGAAAGCCCUCGGCUCAACCGGGGAACUGCAUGGGAAACUGCGGAGCUUGAGUCCGGGAGAGGUGAGUGGAAUUCCCAGUGUAGCGGUGAAAUGCGUAGAUAUUGGGAGGAACACCGGUGGCGAAGGCGGCUCACUGGACCGGUACUGACGCUGAGACGCGAAAGCCAGGGGAGCAAACGGG